rnacentral:rRNA from 1 species
CCAAUAGCGUAUAUUAAAGUUGUUGCAGUUAAAAAGCUCGUAGUUGAAUUUCGGGAUCAAGGAAUCGGUCAUGCCUUGGUAUGUACUGGUUUUAUUGGUUCUCACCUUCUAAAGAACCAUAAUGUCAUUUAUUUGAUGUUAUGGGGAAUUAGGACUGUUACCUUGAAAAAAUUAGAGUGUUUAAAGCAAGCUUACGCUUGAAUACAUUAGCAUGGAAUAAUGAAAUAGGACUUCAGAUUCUAUUUUGUUGGUUUCUAGGAUCGAUGUAAUGAUUAAUAGGGAUAGUUGGGGGCAUUAGUAUUCAAUUGUCAGAGGUGAAAUUCUUGGAUUUAUUGAAGACUAACUACUGCGAAAGCAUUUGCCAAGGAUGUUUUCAUUAAUCAAGAACGAAAGUUAGGGGAUCGAAGACGAUCAGAUACCGUCGUAGUCUUAACCAUAAACUAUGCCGACUAGGGAUCGGAUGAUGUUAAUUUUUUAAUGACUCAUUCGGCACCUUACG